rnacentral:misc_RNA from 1 species
UUACUCACAAAACAAACGCCAUUUAUUUAAUAAAAAAUGGCUGCCAUGUUGUUGGCGACUGUUGGGCGCUUGUUUGGGAAUUAAUGUUUGUCUCAUAAAAUAUAAUGUGUUUUAUCAAUUGUCUAACUGUAAUUACAAGAAGUUUAUUAAGCGAAUAAGUAUUCUGAUAAAAGUGCACCAGCAGUCUGCCUUGGCAGAUCAGAUGUUCAUCCCACCACAUCUAGUAAUAUAAGAAUAGACAUUAAGUUUGCUGCCGAGGUUUCUACAUUAAUCUGACAAAAUGUGGCCAGCAUCGCAGUACUCCCAUUCCAAUCAGCAUGCUCAGAAUGCAGCGAAAGCCAAUGAGCAUCAGAACCAGCAAAACUUGAAGACGCUGGGAAUGACAUCUGCUAUUUCAAUGGCAGGUCCAAAACCCAUAGACAUAGAGAAAACAAAUGAGCUCAAAGAUGCUUUGGUUCCAUUCGGAGUGUUUGAAUCUGAACAAGAGAUGCACCAUCGUAUGGAGGUAUUGGGAUCAUUGCACAGACUCGUGAGGCAGUGGAUCAGGGACGAGUCGCUCAGGAAAAACAUGCCGCCCAGUGUGGCUGACACAGUUGGUGGGAAUAUCUACACGUUUGGAUCUUAUAGACUUGGGGUGCAUCACCGCGGAGCUGAUAUCGACGCUCUGUGUGUGGCCCCGCGGCACAUCGACCGCUCCGACUACUUCGCUUCCUUCUAUGAGCUCCUCAAGACACAGCCCCAGGUGAAGGAUUUGCGUGCAGUUGAAGACGCGUUUGUGCCAGUCAUCAAGAUGAACUUUGACGGAAUAGAGAUUGAUUUGCUGUUUGCAAGACUUGCACUCAAGGAAAUACCAGAUUCCUUCGACCUCCGUGACGACAUAUUGCUCAAGAACCUGGACCAGAAGUGCGUGCGCUCGCUCAACGGCUGCCGCGUGACGGACGAGAUCCUGCGCCUCGUGCCCAACAUCAACAACUUCCGCCUCACGCUGCGCGCCAUCAAGCUGUGGGCCAAACGCCACGGCAUAUACUCCAAUACGUUGGGCUACCUGGGUGGAGUGUCCUGGGCGAUGUUGGUCGCGCGGACCUGUCAGCUGUACCCCAAUGCUCUGCCCGCUACGCUGCUACACAAGUUCUUCCUGGUCUUCAGCCAGUGGAAAUGGCCGCAGCCUGUGCUGCUGAAACAACCGGAUUCUGUCAACCUUGGCUUCCCAGUGUGGGACCCUCGGGUGAAUGUGUCGGACCGGUUUCACUUGAUGCCAAUCAUAACUCCCGCUUACCCGCAGCAGAACUCUACCUUCAACGUGUCUGCGUCUACCAGGACUGUCAUCAUGGAAGAGUUCAGACUCGGUUUGGACAUAACAGAUGAAAUAAUGCUCGGCAAGUGUGGCUGGGAGAGACUGUUCGAGGCGCCGCACUUCUUCUCCAGGUACAAGCACUUCAUAGUGCUGCUGGCGUCCUCCGCCUGCGCGCAGGACCAGCUGCAGUGGUGCGGACUCAUCGAGAGCAAGAUCAGACACCUCAUCACAACGCUGGAAAGAAAUCCCCACAUAACAAUAGCGCACGUCAACCCAGAGUGUUACAACUCAGUCCCACUGAACACCAACAAUGGUCAGCCGCUUGCCUUGCCGCCAGGUAUUGCUGUGUCAUCAGAAAAUGUUAAUGAGAUCAACAAAAAUGAAGAAGGCGAGGUGAUAGCAAACGUGUGCUCCAUGUGGUUCAUCGGGCUGGUGUUCGACAAGACGAACGUGAACGUGGACCUCACGUACGACAUCUCGUCCUUCACCAAGGCGGUGCACUACCAGGCCGAGAACACUAACAUGCUGCGGGAGGGGAUGACUAUAGAGGCACGUCACGUACGACGCAAACAACUGCACCAAUUCCUCUCACCGUCGCUGGUCAUCAAGAAAGAGCGCACACAGUCGGGAGCCAAGCGCAAACACGACGGACCCCCGACCAGCGCGCCCAACACACACACGACCGCGCCCGUUAAGAAGACCAAACGAUUGUCUGAGAGUAGCACGGACGAAGUCAGCAUCCUGUCCUACAACGAAGACUCGAACUCGUCAAACAUGGUCGAAGUCAACAUACAGAACGGCAACGCCAACCACUCACAGGACACUGACAGAAACAAACCAGCAGACAAACAGAUGGCAAAACCGGAGCACACACCCUCAACGUCCAGCACCAUAGCGUGCACGUAGCAGUACGAGGAGUGGCGUCACAGGUUCAUAUACGGAACCAGCAGCGUCAAGCAGAACCGUGUGAAGCGCGCCUAAGACGUUCACAACCCAAUAGUGUAGUCUAGCCUUUACGGCUACCGGACAAAUUAUUAUGAUAAACUUCAGUUUUUGAAGAUAUAAGUGACAGUGAUUUAGUUAAGGCAAUGUGAUAGUGACGUGAACAAGUGGAUGUUUUAAAAAAAAACUUCAAAAUGUGGCAGUUGGGCUAUAUUGAAUGUCGUAACAAUCUGAACUUCUAUGUGGUUUUGUAUGAAGCGAUUUGAAGAAUUUUUACUAACGUUUGCGCGGCUUGCAGCUCCAGGAUAUCGUUUUGUAUGGAGACGCUCAACUCUUGUAUGGGCACAGUUUCAGUUUU